rnacentral:lncRNA from 1 species
UUCACUCUCUCAUUGCCGUUCAAACCAAAGAACAAAGGGGGAAAGAAUAGAAAAACCCUAAGGAGGAAAAAUUCAAGAGAAAUUCAUUGGAUUUUCGAAAAAUGAAGCGAUCGGAGGUAAGAUUUCGCGAUUUAGCUUAAGAUCUACCUUACCCAUGCUUUCUUUUUCAUUUUCUAUGGUUGAAACUCAAGUUUUCAUGAUGGAAGCAUGCUGGCCGAAUCAAGGGGGGAAGGUUUUGAUGAUGGUUUUUGAUAGAUUUUAGACUAUCUAGAUGUUUUUAGUGUUUUAUGAUAUUCGGUAUGAAAAACAAGCAAGAAAAUAACAUGUUCUUCAUCAAACCCUAAUUGGCCGAAUUCUAUAGGGAAUAUUUUGAAGAUAAAUUUUGUCAUAUUUCAUGUUAUCUAGCUUGUAUUUGAUGAUUCGUGAUGUCGGAUAUCGAAAACGAUUAUCGAAAAGUAUAGUUUCUUUAGUAAACGACUUGAACGAUAAUGAGAAAAUUAUAGUAAAUGGACUUAGAAUUGAUUUCUAAUGAGGUAUACGGACUUAUUGGAGUAUCGAAAGUGCAAUGAAUCUAUUUGGAGUUUAAUUGGAUGUUUUGGCUAAUUAAAUAGUGUAUAGUGCGAGUUAGGUCGAAUACCAUUUCAAUCCAACAAUAAUUGAACCUACGUAGAACACCAUCUUUAAGUGAUUAUUCGAACACUUCUCAUUCAAUUUCAUACAUUCAUAAAGAGCCUGAAAUAGUUUUAGAACAGUUUGGCACAAAUAUAUUGAAUUACUUGUUAUGUAUUAUGUAUAGGUGGUGAGUCCUCUGGUAAAGGUAAGGAUAUCGUACCCGAGGACCAAGUGUCACAACCCGGUACUCCCCUCAAGCCUGUGACAACCGUCGUAGUGUCCCAAUCGACACUCAUUACCCAAAAUGUCAAUCGAAACCCCGCAAGGCUUUAAUAUCUGUUUCUCAUUUCCCCUGUGAGUAACCGUUGCCAAAUAUCAUGUUCUAAAAGAUUUUAAGUUAUUUCCAACUUAAAUCAAUAAAAAAAUGAUUUCUGUCUCACAAGGGCAUU